AAUGAUACUUCGGCUGACAACCGCCCGGUGUGUGACCGGGAUAUGGGUGCUAUCAUCUGAAACGCAGUGGUGACUGCUCCAUAU
rnacentral:sRNA from 12 species